CACAACUAAAUGUUUGCCAGCUAGAUAUCUUAUAACUAUUAAGUUAACUGUCUAAAAUGUGCUAAAUGCUCUGUAGUUAUACAUUUGGCUUGUUAACUUAGUAACUCGUUAGCUAUCUAGUUAAGUGGUUAACUUCUUCCAAAAUCAAGCCUUGCUUAGGAACAGCAGAGAAGCCUCUCCUGGACCAACAGCCUUGCUGUGUAAUAUUUGUUUUGUGUGUGCAGCAUGUCCUGAAAAGUCUAAAUGUUAUUUUAGGUUUAAGGUUUAGGUUUUGGGUUAAGGUCAGCGUAAGGGUUAGGUUUUGGGUUAAGGUCAGCGUAAGGGUUAGGUUUUGGGUUAAGGUCAGAGUAAGGGUUAGGUUUUGGGUUAAGGUCAGCGUAAGGGUUAGGUUUUGGGUUAAGGUCAGCAUAAGGGUUAGGUUUUGGGUUAAGGUCAGCGUAAGGGUUAGGUUUUGGGUUAAGGUCAGCAUAAGGGUUAGGUUUUGGGUUAAGGUCAGCGUAAGGGUUAGGUUUUGGGUUAAGGUCAGCGUAAGGGUUAGGUUUUGGGUUAAGGUCAGCGUAAGGGUUAGGUUUUGGGUUAAGGUCAGCGUAAGGGUUAGGUUUUGGGUUAAGGUCAGCGUAAGGGUUAGGUUUUGGGUUAAGGUCAGCGUAAGGGUUAGGUUUUGGGUUAAGGUCAGCGUAAGGGUUAGGUUUUGGGUUAAGGUCAGCGUAAGGGUUAGGUUUUGGGUUAAGGUCAGCGUAAGGGUUAGGUUUUGGGUUAAGGUCAGCGUAAGGGUUAGGUUUUGGGUUAAGGUCAGCGUAAGGGUUAGGUUUUGGGUUAAGGUCAGCGUAAGGGUUAGGUUUUGGGUUAAGGUCAGCAUAAGGGUUAGGUUUUGGGUUAAGGUCAGCGUAAGGGUUAGGUUUUGGGUUAAGGUCAGCAUAAGGGUUAGGUUUUGGGUUAAGGUCAGCAUAAGGGUUAGGUUUUGGGUUAAGGUCAGCGUAAGGGUUAGGUUUUGGGUUAAGGUCAGCGUAAGGUUUAGGUUUUGGGUUAAGGUCAGCAUAAGGGUUAGGUUUUGGGUUAAGGUCAGCGUAAGGGUUAGGUUUUGGGUUAAGGUCAGCGUAAGGUUUAGGUUUUGGGUUAAGGUCAGCAUAAGGGUUAGGUUUUGGGUUAAGGUCAGCGUAAGGGUAAGGGUUAUGUUUUGGGUUAAGGUCAGCGUAAGGGUUAGGUUUUGGGUUAAGGUCAGCGUAAGGGUUAGGUUUUGGGUUAAGGUCAGCAUAAGGGUUAGGUUUUGGGUUAAGGUCAGCGUAAGGGUUAGGUUUUGGGUUAAGGUCAGCAUAAGGUUUAGGUUUUGGGUUAAGGUCAGCAUAAGGGUUAGGUUUUGGGUUAAGGUCAGCGUAAGGUUUAGGUUUUGGGUUAAGGUCAGCAUAAGGGUUAGGUUUUGGGUUAAGGUCAGCAUAAGGGUUAGGUUUUGGGUUAAGGUCAGCGUAAGGGUAAGGGUUAUGUUUUGGGUUAAGGUCAGCGUAAGGGUUAGGUUUUGGGUUAAGGUCAGUGUAAGGGUUAGGUUUUGGGUUAAGGU